CCACUUGCUCGUCGGCAAAGCUCAAGAAACAGCUGGCACUCCUCCCUUCCUCCGGUGAACUGAAGCGCUUGAUGGUGCUCGUCACUCGACCAUGAACAAGGGUGGGGUGACCGACGGUAACCAGGUGGGGCUUGAGAUUCUCUGAUGAACUCCUUUCCCAACUCCCCAGCAAACUCUCUCUCUCUCCCUCCACCAUUCUCUGCAAUCUCCUCCUCUCUCUUUUCAAAGCCUCGUCUCUCUCUUCCCCCACAGCCAAAAGGGAAACCCCUCACUUUUAAGGGCUAUCGGCAGGCACGCAUGGCCUCUACCACCACCAGCUUGCCGACCGGACUGAUCCCGACUCACGGAUCACACCACCAUCUGCCCCCUUGCGAUCCCCUGUCUCCUCUGGCUCGUACUUUGC
rnacentral:lncRNA from 1 species